rnacentral:misc_RNA from 1 species
UUCUUCUUCUUCUUCUUCUUCUGCGCUCCUGCCGUAAAUGCCUCCUUCCAUUUCUAUCACCCUUCUUAAUGUUAGGCUCUGUCUGCUUGCUUCUGAUUGUAUGAAUAAGUGUUUUGACGUUUUUGUAAGAUUAUCAUUUUCUUAAAGAAAAAAAAAAUCCUUGAUUUUUCUUAAAAAUACUUUAAUUUUUACUUUAUUAUGGAAAUUUUUUUAUUAAUUUUUUAAUAUCCCAAUUGCAAAAAACUUUUUAAAAAAUAUAUUUUUUACAAAAUAAAUGUAGCAUACAAUUAAUUAACACUUAAUUUUAAAUACAUUUGGGUAAAUU